UGGGGAAUAUUGCGCAAUGGGCGAAAGCCUGACGCAGCGACGCCGCGUGAGUGAAGAAGUCUUUCGGGAUGUAAAACUCUGUCAGGUGGGAAGAUAAUGACGGUACCACCAGAGGAAGCCCCGGCUAACUACGUGCCAGCAGCCGCGGUAAUACGUAGGGGGCGAGCGUUAUCCGGAUUCACUGGGCAUAAAGCGCGCGUAGGCGGUUUGCUAAGUCAGAUGUGAAAUGUCUCGGCUCAACCGAGGCCUGCAUUUGAAACUGGCGAACUAGAGAUAAGGAGAGGAAAGCGGAACUCACGGUGUAGCGGUGAAAUGCGUAGAUAUCGUGAGGAACAUCAGUUGCGAAGGCGGCUUUCUGGACUUAUUCUGACGCUGAGGCGCGAAAGCGUGGGGAGCAAACGGG
rnacentral:rRNA from 1 species